GACUUUCGGCAACGGAUAUUUCGGCUCUCGCAUCGAUGAAGAACGUAGCGAAAUGCGAUACUUGGUGUGAAUUGCAGGAUCCCGCGACCCCCCGAGUCUUUGAACGCAAGUUGCCCCCGGACCCUUCUGGCCGAGGGCACGUCUCCCUGGGCGUCA
rnacentral:rRNA from 1 species